CGUGUAGGCGGCCAUGCAAGUCGGAUGUGAAAGCCCUCGGCUCAACCGGGGAAGUGCACUCGAAACUGCAAGGCUAGAGUCUCGGAGAGGAUCGUGGAAUUCUCGGUGUAGAGGUGAAAUUCGUAGAUAUCGAGAGGAACACCGGUGGCGAAGGCGGCGAUCUGGACGAUGACUGACGCUGAGACGCGAAGCGUGGGAGCAAACA
rnacentral:rRNA from 1 species